rnacentral:lncRNA from 1 species
AGGGAGUGCAAAGAUGCAUGAUUAUUUAUCUGAACCAAUUAAAGAAUAGCAAGGAGAUAAUCCAAGUAUCUGCAAAAGACACCAUUUUCAGUGUACUGGAAAGUAACAUCCACAUACCUGGCAAAACAACUGUUUGUGAAGCUUUCCUAUCCUCCAGAAUUCUCGAUUAUAAUUUUUUUUUUUUUUUUUUUGCUUCUUAUUACAGUUUACGUGGUAGGCUUAUACAAAAUGUGUAAGCGGAAACACUGUUAUCAAGUCGACGACUAGUGAACCAGUCGUUCUAUAGAAAAAGUCGAGGAGCGACUUAUGAGUUUUACCCGACCCGGUACCUGGUCUGACCAAAAAUUUCAGAAGUAGGGUUUUUAGACAAAAUCUUAUGUGGUUUUGUUCUGAAAAGAAAGAUAAGGAUUUGGGCGGCUACAAGGUCCGAUUAAUAGACUUGUCGUCGGUGUGUAGGCCCUGAUUACCUGUUCCGGAAACUUCAGAAGUAGGGUUGUUAGACAAAAUCUUAUGUGGUUUUGUUCUGAAAAGAAAGAUAAGGAUCUGGGCGGCAACAAGGUCCGACUAAUAGACUUGUAGUCGGUGUGUAAGCCCUGAUUACCUGUUCCGGCUACGUAAUCUUUAUAUCAUUUUCAACAUAUUAGUAUAUCCCUAAUCUUUGUAUCAUUUCAACUUCACAUUAUUAUUUCCUACCCGUCACUACUUUCCGACUUCAGGCUAUGUAAUCUUUGUAUUAUUUUCAACAUAUCAGUAUAUCCCUGAUCUUUGUAUCAUUUCAACUUCACAUUAUUAUUUCCAUCCUGACACUACUUUCUGGCUUCACUUUACAUGUGAACUAACAAUCUGCUACGUCCUGUACAUCUCACUGUUGCUUCUUAUCUUUUAAUUUUGAUUCAAACUAUAAACUGAUGUUUGUUCAACUAAAUGAUGUGUGUUCAACUAUAUUAUAUUUAUCAAAUCUAGUAAACAUAUGUAUAUAAAUGACUUGACUGUUUACGACUAGUCUGGCGACUUGUCGACUAGUCAAUUCCAAGGUACCCGGGCGCCGAGGCUCGACUUGGCGCUGUGAUAACCUUGAGUGGAAAUAAACAAUGAGCGAGAGGUACUUCCUAAAUGACACAUGCAAAGACAUCCAGCAGAAAAGAUGAAACAGAGAAAAGCAUUGACAUUUUGACCACAUCUAACCAGUUUCCAGUUCUUCUACGGAACAUUAUACACGUUAGAACUAAAGUUUACAUCAGAAGAGAAAAUUGUGGAGUCUAUUAAGCAAGUGUGCAUGUAAUGUAUAUUUAAAAUAAUUGUGACACAUGCUCUAGGCUACCUCAAAAUAUGACACUGGCAAGUAGCAUCACUUGUAUAAUAAUCUUGCCUUAGACUUCCACGGGAUAUGGCGAUUUUAUUACUAAAUUAU